rnacentral:rRNA from 1 species
GAUGAACGCUAGCGGGAGGCCUAACACAUGCAAGCCGAGCGGUAUUGUUUCUUCGGAAAUGAGAGAGCGGCGUACGGGUGCGUAACACGUGUGCAACCUGCCUUUAUCUGGGGGAUAGCCUUUCGAAAGGAAGAUUAAUACUCCAUAACAUAUUGAACGGAAUCGUUUAAUAUUGAAAGCUCCGGCGGAUAGAGAUGGGCACGCGGAAGAUUAGCUAGUUGGUGAGGUAACGGCUCACCAAGGCGAUGAUCUUUAGGGGGCCUGAGAGGGUGAUCCCCCACACUGGUACUGAGACACGGACCAGACUCCUACGGGAGGCAGCAGUGAGGAAUAUUGGUCAAUGGGUGCAAGCCUGAACCAGCCAUCCCGCGUGAAGGACGACUGCCCUAUGGGUUGUAAACUUCUUUUGUAUAGGGAUAAACCUACCCUCGUGAGGGUAGCUGAAGGUACUAUACGAAUAAGCACCGGCUAACUCCGUGCCAGCAGCCGCCGUAACAC